UUGAGUUCUGUAGAUGGAGUUCAGAGAAACUUUUCAUGGGCAACUGCUGUGCAAGCCUCCUCAAACUGCCGGGUAAUGUACUUCAUUCCUAACCCUGAGGACUACCCUUGCAAGCAAGGUGACAGCUCAGUCUCCAUGUCCCACUCAGUCCUUGGCCUCU
rnacentral:sRNA from 1 species